CACCGCGGUUAUACGAGAGGCCUAAGUUAACAGACACCGGCGUAAAGAGUGGUUAAGGAGAAAUCAAAACUAAAGCCGAAUAACCUCAAGACUGUUAUACGUUCCCGAGGACAAGAAGCCCAACUACGAAAGUGGCUUUAAUUUUCCCGACUCCACGAAAGCUGUGAAA
rnacentral:rRNA from 2 species